GUAGGGAAUAUUGGGCAAUGGGUGCAAGCCUGACCCAGCCAUCCCGCGUGCCAGAUGAAGGCCCUCUGGGUCGUAAACGGCUUUUGACGGUGAAGAACCGAAAGGGUGCGCCCUUUUUUGACGGUAGCCGUUGAAUAAGCACCGGCUAACUCCGUGCCAGCAGCCGCGGUAAUACGGAGGGUGCGAGCGUUGUCCGGAUUUAUCGGGUUUAAAGGGUGCGUAGGCUGGAGGGACAGUCAGCGGUGAAAAGCAGUUGCUCAACAAUUGUCUUGCCGCAGAUACUACCUUUCUUGGAUUGGGAGGAGGUUACCGGAACGGAUGGUGUAGCGGUGAAAUGCAUAGAUAUCAUCCAGAACGCCAAUUGCGAAGGCAGGUAACUGUACCUAUAUCGACGCUGAUGCACGAAAGCAUGGGUAGCGAACAGGAUUAGAAACCCGUGUAGUCC
rnacentral:rRNA from 1 species